CCGCCAAGAAAUUAUUUUCCAACAUUAUUUUCAGUCCAAACCGCUGGCGGUUUGCAAAGCUUUUAUUUUGAAGGUGGUCAACGGGGCUCGUUGUCGGCAGAUUUCCGUCAUGCAGAGUAUCAACAAUUGGUGGCUUGAUAGCAGUACGGUCCUGGGGCGCGUUGAGGGAUAGACAACCCUUGACGAAAUUCUCCUGAAUUUGUCUUCAACGUGCUCAAGCCUCCACCCGGGGCGUCCACAAUCAUCUCGCUGGACGAAAACAUCUUUCGUUGAAGCUUCCUGUCCGAUUAAAGUCGUCUCGGUGGACAUUGGUGUUUCUCGGCCUAGUUUAGCUUCGGUUAGCUUGCUAGCCGCUAACAAAGAGGCCCUCGUGCUCAAUACAUCGCUGCACGGAGAUGGUAAGCGUAAAGUGUUGUCGCAAUUUUCGCACCAUGUGCACAAGAAGGACAUCAGAAUACGAGGAGGAACUUUGUGAAGAAAAAGAGGACCACAAGGGACAACGUCAACUGCUGGACGCCAUUCGCAGGAUGCAGCCAAGAAUUGUUCUUCACAGAUUAGGUUGGGUCACGCUGUUCGUCUCACUUGUUUCGUACUCUUUCUGAACAUCCUUCACAUGCUGUUUUUCUUGUCCGCAGUGUGUGUGUGUAUAUGUAGAUAUAUAUCGAGUUCAAGU